UGGUGAUGGUGAUGCUCAUGACGGGUAUGACCAUGAUGAUCGUCAUGCGAAUGAUGAUGAUCGUGAUCAUGGUCGUGAUUGUGAUGACCGCCGGAA
rnacentral:miRNA from 1 species